rnacentral:rRNA from 1 species
UGUAAGCGUAUACCAUAGUUGUUGCAGUUAAAACGCUCGUAGUCGGAAUUUGGCAGUUCCGGAUGUGUGCACGUCGUGUGCGCACUUCGCGGGGAUUGCUUUUGUGGUCUUGCGUAGGAUGAGGCACUUUUAUUAGUGAACGUCCUCACGCAACCACUUUUUACUGUGAGAAAAUCAGAGUGCUCAAAGCAGGCAUUUGCCGUGAAUGUAUUAGCAUGGAAUAAUAGAAUAGGACUUGGUUCUAUUUUGUUGGUUUGUUGGGACUGAGUAAUGAUUAAGAGGGACAGUUGGGGGCAUUUGUAUUUCGGUGCUAGAGGUGAAAUUCUUAGAUUACCGAAAGACAAACUGCUGCGAAAGCGUCUGCCAAGGAUGUUUUCAUUGA